AGAGUGAAGCAUAUCAGUGUAGCAGCAUAUCAUUGACAUUGAAUUGGGAGCUGUUGUGAUCCAGGAUGGGAGGUUAAAGAAGGCUCAUGGUCUGUGCCCAGCUGGCUCUUUGAAAGAGUAAUCUAGUGUGUGAUACAGAGGACAAAAGUCACCCUGCAAAAUGUGACCAUUAGCAUGUGUCGGCCUCGAGAUUGACUGAGCCUUCAAUUUAAAGAUGGUUUUCCUGUCCUGCCUGCCUUCCAGAUGGAUGUUAAAGAUCCCAAGAGUCUAAUUGAGAAGAGAAAGUGUGUUCCACCCGGUAUCCUGGCCAACAAU